rnacentral:rRNA from 1 species
UACGUAGGGUGCGAGCGUUUGUCCGGAAUUAUUGGGCGUAAAGGGCUCGUAGGCGGUUUGUCGCGUCGGGAGUGAAAUCCACUGGCUUAACUGGUGGCUUGCUUUCGAUACGGGCAGACUGGAGGUAUGCAGGGGAGAACGGAAUUCCUGGUGUAGCGGUGAAAUGCGCAGAUAUCAGGAGGAACACCAAUGGCGAAGGCAGAUCUCUGGGCCGUAACUGACGCUGAGGAGCGAAAGCAUGGGGAGCGAACAGG